rnacentral:rRNA from 1 species
AACUAACGCUGGCGGCGUGCCUAACACAUGCAAGUCGUACGAGAAAGCCGGCUUCGGCUGGUGAGUAAAGUGGCGCACGGGUGAGUAACGCGUGGAUAAUCUGCCCUUAAGUGUGGAAUAACGUACCGAAAGGUGCGCUAAUACCGCAUAAUGCCUGGCAACACAAGUUGUCCGGCCAAAGAAGGCCUCUGUUUACAAGCUUUCGCUUCAGGAUGAGUCCGCGUACCAUUAGCUUGUUGGUGGGGUAAUGGCCUACCAAGGCUGCGAUGGUUAGCUGGUCUGAGAGGAUGAUCAGCCACACUGGAACUGAGACACGGUCCAGACUCCUACGGGAGGCAGCAGUGAGGAAUAUUGCGCAAUGGGGGCAACCCUGACGCAGCAACGCCGCGUGAGUGAAGAAGGCCUUCGGGUUGUAAAGCUCUUUCGGCGUGGGAAGAAAUCGCAUCUCCUAAGUACGGGUGGUGGAUGACGGUACCAGCAUAAGAA